UUUUACCUCAGGACAUAGGCACGGGCGUAUUUGUUUCAUUUUGCUGGUCAGUAAGCACUGGUGUUGAACCAGCUUUCUUAUCACGGGCCUCACAACGUCUCUUAAGAAUGUCAUCUUUAUUGCGUGCAUAAUACUCUCUGUUUCUCUGCCUCUUUAAUUCUUUAGGGUCUGCAUAAAUACACACAACAAGUUGGGACAUAAACAACAAUAACAUUAUUAGAAUUUAGGAAAGGUUGAUGAUAGUUACCCGAAUUUUGGUUGUUACUUAUGUCCUGAAGUGGGGUGCGCGCCCCCGCACCGUUGGAAUCUGACAUAUCUUAGC
rnacentral:lncRNA from 1 species